rnacentral:rRNA from 1 species
ACUACGCUGGCGGCGUGCCUAAUACAUGCAAGUCGAACGGGAUUCUUUGAUCAGCUUGCUGAGAGAAGGAUCUAGUGGCGGACGGGUGAGUAACGCGUGGGAAUCUGCCUCUUACUGGGGGAUAACAGUGGGAAACUACUGCUAAUACCGCAUAAGAUCUUCGGAUGAAAGGUGCAACUGCACCGGUAAGAGAUGAGCCCGCGUCCCAUUAGCUAGUUGGUGAGGUAAAGGCUCACCAAGGCGACGAUGGGUAGCCGGCCUGAGAGGGUGAACGGCCACACUGGGACUGAGACACGGCCCAGACUCCUACGGGAGGCAGCAGUAGGGAAUCUUCCGCAAUGGGCGCAAGCCUGACGGAGCGACGCCGCGUGAGCGAUGAAGGCCUUCGGGUCGUAAAGCUCUGUUCUUGAGGACGAAUAAGCCAGGGAGUGGAAAGCCCUGGUGAUGACUGUACUCAAGGAGAAAGCUCCGGCUAACUACGUG